rnacentral:rRNA from 1 species
CACGUAGGGUGCGAGCGUUGUCCGGAAUUAUUGGGCGUAAAGAGCUCGUAGGCGGUGUGUCGCGUCGGCCGUGAAAACCUGCAGCUUAACUGUGGGCGUGCGGUCGAUACGGGCAUCACUGGAGUUCGGCAGGGGAGACUGGAAUUCCUGGUGUAGCGGUGAAAUGCGCAGAUAUCAGGAGGAACACCGGUGGCGAAGGCGGGUCUCUGGGCCGAUACUGACGCUGAGGCGCGAAAGCGUGGGGAGCGAACAGG